ensembl:lncRNA
GCCCCGCGUCGGCUGCAGACCCCGCCCCGGGCCGGGUCGCAGGAGGGGGCGCCCCUCUGGCCUCGGAUGCCCCGGAUUUGGGGGGCCUGGAGCGCCUGCCUCGGGGCUCGCGGGGGCGAUGGGCGGGGAGACGCGCAGAUCUCUGCGGCGCACGAGCGGAGCCUGCCGAGCCCUGGGCGGGGUCGGUAACGCGGCAAGGCUGCAGCUGCCGGGGCCGCGCUUUCUCCUCCCCCGGGCCUGCUGGACACGCUCGCCGCCCUAUUUCUAGCACCGCGACGGCGCUGGGCAGUGUACUUGCUGACCGAACAAGUGAAUCCACCCAUCCCUCCAUCCUAGGAAAGGCUGGACCGCACGGCCACCUGACGUAGUUGGACUGGAGGAACGCAGAUACCAGCUACUACUCUCCAGCCUUGUUUCAAAGGGAGAAAAACAAAUGACCCCCCCAAAAGUCAAAUGAAGCAAAUAAAGAAUUAUCAGGAAUUAAUUUUCUGUGACCACUUACGUCCUUCCCUUCUGGCCGGCCACACACAUCCCACCAGGCCCAGACAGAGUUUCAGUCCUGACCCUGUGGAUCCAGCAUCACUGGCCCAGCCUCCAGAGAAGGCAAUGGCACCCCACUCGAGUACUCUUGCCUGGAAAAUCCCGUGGAGGGAGGAGCCUGGUGGGCGGCAGUCCAUGGGGUCGAAGAGUCGGACACGAUUGAGCAACUUCACUUUCACUUUUAUGCAUUGGAGAAGGAAAUGGCAACCUACUCCAGUGUUCUUGCCUGGAGAAUCCCAGGGACGGCAGAGCCUGGUGGGCUGCCGUCUAUGGGGUCGCAAAGAGUCGGACAAAACUGAAGCGACUUAGCAGCAGCAGCAGCAUGUUGUCUUGAUUAAUCAUAUUUAAGAAUAUAAAGUUUUCAAAGGAAUUAUCAAUUAACUUCAUUUCUGAUAUUUAUUUUUGGCUGUGCUGGGUCUUCCUUGCUGCACAAAGGCUUUCUCUGGUUGCAGCAAGCAGAGGCUAUUCUCUAGUUGUGGUGUGUGAGCUUCUCACUGUGGUGGCUUCUCUU